rnacentral:rRNA from 1 species
GUUUGAUCAUGGCUCAGGAUGAACGCUAGCGGGAGGCUUAACACAUGCAAGUCGAGGGGCAUCACGAGGUAGCAAUACUUUGGUGGCGACCGGCAGACGGGUGAGUAACGCGUAUGCAACCUACCCUGUACAGGGGGAUAACCCGGAGAAAUUCGGACUAAUAUCCCAUAAUAUUAUUUGGAGGCAUCUUCGGAUAAUUAAAGUUCCGGCGGUACGGGAUGGGCAUGCGUAACAUUAGCUAGUUGGUAAGGUAACGGCUUACCAAGGCUUUGAUGUUUAGGGGUCCUGAGAGGGUGGUCCCCCACACUGGUACUGAGACACGGACCAGACUCCUACGGGAGGCAGCAGUGAGGAAUAUUGGUCAAUGGGCGCAAGCCUGAACCAGCCAUCCCGCGUGCAGGAAGACGGCCCUAUGGGUUGUAAACUGCUUUUCCGAAAGGCGAAACUCAGCGACGUGUCGUUGAUUGACGGUAUUUCGGGAAUAAGCAUCGGCUAACUCCGUGCCAGCAGCCGCGGUAAUACGGAGGAUGCGAGCGUUAUCCGGAUUCAUUGGGUUUAAAGGGUGCGUAGGCGGACUAAUAAGUCAGUGGUGAAAUCCUGCAGCUUAACUGCAGAACUGCCAUUGAUACUGUUAGUCUUGAGUUUGGUUAAGGUAGGCGGAAUGUGUAAUGUAGCGGUGAAAUGCUUAGAUAUUACACAGAACACCAAUUGCGUAGGCAGCUUACUGGACCGACACUGACGCUGAGGCACGAAAGCGUGGGGAUCGAACAGGAUUAGAUACCCUGGUAGUCCACGCCGUAAACGAUGAUUACUCGCUGUUGGCGAUACACAGUCAGCGGCUAAGCAAAAGCAAUAAGUAAUCCACCUGGGGAGUACGGCC